UAGACACCAUAUCUUUCAGUGCUAGGCUC
rnacentral:piRNA from 1 species